GGGUACUAACCUCCCGCCAAAAGGCAGGCUUUCUCUUCCCAUAGAGCAGCUGUGGGCUAGAGGAUUACAGCCUGAACAAUCACGCAAGUGCUCCAAUAAGACCACACUCCUUGAAAAGCCCCUGAAAUGAGAGUAAAGGAAGAGGAGAGAAAGUACUCACCAAUUUUGCACCAAAGCUCAGCGUCCAGUUGUAAAGAUGGUGACAGCAUAGGAAAUACAGCUGAUAAUGCAGAACAACAGCUCUGCCUCAGCACAGCAGAGGACAACGGGCCAUAUGAAAUGGGACACACUGAAGAAUGAAGUAUGUCUUCCUAAAUGCUGAGUGAACACAAUCCCAUAGAUCCCAUGCUGGGUAGGCCUAUGUCUGCCAUACAAAGCCGUGAUAACCAACUGAUAAACCCUGUUUAAUUUUACAUAUUAAGUAGAAAUUUGAUGUCAGGAGAGUUUGGCCUUGUAGGUUGGACUUGUAAAGACAAUCUCGUAUCACCGAGUGGCGUUGUUGAAUUUCUAUUCCUGCCAAGACCUAAACCCACAUAUAGUUCUCUAAACAGUGUGGGGGGUGUAUAGUGUCAGAAGUCUUGGUGUAUUUUCAUCUGCUGUGCGCGGAGGAAGUUUUUUUUUUUUUUUUAAGAUUUUAGUUAUUUAUCAGAGAGAGAGAGGGGGAGAGAGCGAGCACAGGCAGACAGAAUGGCAGGCAGAGGCAGAGGGAGAAGCAGGCUCCCCGCCGAGCAAGGAGCCUGAUGUGGGUAUUGAUCCCAGGACACUGGGAUCAUGACCUGAGCUGAAGGCAGAUGCUUAACCAACUGAGCCACCCAGGCGUCCCACGGAGAAGGGUUUGAAACAGCAGGAGCAUAUCGUCCGUGAGCACCAAGGAACAAAAGGCGCAAAGGGCGUGUGCGCACACAUACAUAUAUUGAGAACAAGAGCACUAGAAAGGGGGAGUACAAAAAUAUACUUGGCUUAAUUAUUUUCAAUCAAAAAAGCGUAUGUGGAAGUUGAUUUGAGUGUCUGUCUAGAGAGUUGACAUUUCCAGAUUCUCAGAUUCCUUUAACUUCUAAAAAUACCACUAUUCUAUUUUGGCUUAAUUAAAAGACCAGAGAAACAUAUUCCUGAUUUCUUGGGGGAAUCAGAGAGGUUCAGUGAGUGGGUAAAAAUUUUAAUUAUAUAGACGAAUUUGACAAAAAUGGAAGUUCCACAGAAGUGAACAAUGAAUGUUUUCACUUCCACGCAAUGCCGAGGAGUACACAGUAAGCAUCAUGAAGGGAAGCUAGCCAGUGCAUAGAUUGCCAGUCUUACAGUACGUGGUAAAUCUUCUUCCCACCUCCAUGCCAUGAAACAGCUGCACAUUGCUUACAAAAUUACAAAAACCAGUAAAUGGAGAACUGUUCAAUAUCAGGGGAAAGAUGCUGAUUCAGAAUUCACAUGGUCAGGAACUAAGAAAAUAUAUGGUAAUUCCCGUGUCUCGCCUCUUACUUCUUCCUAAAAUACACCGCAUGUUUCAGAACAAAAAUAUUGAAUUUCAGACCUCAGUUCGACUGAUGUCAGUUUUUGAGCUGUCCUGAUGGUGAAGUACUUGGCACAAGGUAAAAUAAAUAAACACAUAAAAAUUUAAAAAGAGAAAACAGAAAGCCUAGGCCAGGAGACUCUAUUUCCAAACAUAUUCAAGGGAAUAAAGCAGCAAGGGCUCCUAUACAUGAUAAUUGAGCGCAUGGCAGAAAAUAGCACAUCGAAAACAUGAUUAAAAAUGACUCUGCUGGGCACCUGGGUGGCUCAGUGGGCUAAAGCCUCUGCCUUCAGCUAAGGUCUCGAUCCCAGCGUCCUGGGAUCGAACCCUGCAUCGGGCUCUCUGCUCGGCGCUGAGCCUGCUUCCCCCUCUCCCCCUCUCUGCCUGCCUCUCUGCCUGCUUGUGAUCUCUGUC
rnacentral:lncRNA from 1 species